ACACGACUACAUUAGAUACCCCUGUAGUCCUAGCCGUAAACGAUACUCGCUAGGUGUCGGCCACGGUGCGACCGUUGUCGGUGCCGUAGGGAAGCCGUGAAGCGAGCCACCUGGGAAGUACGGCCGCAAGGCUGAAACUUAAAGGAAUUGGCGGGGAGCACCACAACGGGUGGAGCUUGCGGUUUAAUUGGAUUCAACGCCGGAAAUCUUACCGGGACCGACAGCAACAUGAAGGCCAGGCUGAAGACUUUGCCGGAUUAGCUG
rnacentral:rRNA from 1 species